rnacentral:rRNA from 1 species
UUUAUUGGAGAGUUUGAUCCUGGCUCAGGAUGAACGCUGGCGGCGUGCCUAAUACAUGCAAGUCGAGCGAAUGGAUUGAGAGCUUGCUCUCAAGAAGUUAGCGGCGGACGGGUGAGUAACACGUGGGUAACCUGCCCAUAAGACUGGGAUAACUCCGGGAAACCGGGGCUAAUACCGGAUAACAUUUUGAACUGCAUGGUUCGAAAUUGAAAGGCGGCUUCGGCUGUCACUUAUGGAUGGACCCGCGUCGCAUUAGCUAGUUGGUGAGGUAACGGCUCACCAAGGCAACGAUGCGUAGCCGACCUGAGAGGGUGAUCGGCCACACUGGGACUGAGACACGGCCC